rnacentral:lncRNA from 1 species
UAAAAACCUCUAAAUUUACCAAGGCCGGUCUAGAAAGCCCAUAGAGGGGGUGAGUAUACAACACUAGUCACACCCUUCCAUGUGCUUCAUUAGGCGCCACUUUUGGGAGGGAAUUCAUUUGAAUUUCCCUCCACUUUCAUUUGAUUUUUUAACCCUCUAAACACUAUAAAUAAGAGGGCUUGACUCAUGUAAUUGCAAAAUUAAUCAAUGAGUGAAUUGCUG